rnacentral:lncRNA from 1 species
GUAGGCUGCUCGUACUGCCGCCCGCUUACAGAGGGGAAAACCGGGGCGCUCAGCAGAUGGUUACGUUUUCACCAGAGCCACCUGCCCACAGAGACCUGGGAUAAUAGAGGCCAAAGGUGGCCCAUCAGCUCAGAAACCUGUAAUUCCGCACAUGCCCAACCAUCCACAGGGACCGGAAGGAGCCGAGCAGACGCCAGCGGAAACCCACAGAUGUUUGCAAUUGACAACAGACCCAUCAGCAGAUGUCCUUAAAGAAUUUGCCGGCACCUGCUGCCUGUUUACCAAUGCUCCCUCCGUGAAGUUCACCUUCAGCUCACGGUGACCACCGCCACCGCCGCCGCCACUGGGGCCCCAAGUCGGGGAUGCCUAGCUCGGGUGGCCCCUAGCUCGGGUGGCCCCUUGCUCUUGGGUGGCCCCAAGGACAGUCACUUGACCUCUCUGAGCCAGAGAUGCUGCAUGUGUGAAGGAGAAGUGGUAACGCUCACCUCCUAGGAUGGCGGUGACGAUUCGAAAUGAAAACGUCUAGGGCCCUUGGCGUGGGGUCAGCUCCAGGUAGGUGCCCGGUCAGUGGCAGCUGUCGUGAUUCCUCACCUCUCGGCCUCCGUUUCCCCAGCUGGGUUUGGACAGGGCUUAUCUAGAUCAGUGGUUCUCAGUUGGGGGUGAUUUUACCCCCCAGCUGUGGGGCAAGGGAAGCUGCUGGCAUCAGGUGGCGUCGGAGAUGCUGCCAACGUCCGACAGGGUGCAGGACAGCCACGCACAGCGGGGGAUUGUCCAGCCCCAAAUGUCCACAUGAUCUGUAUUAAGAAACCCUGGACUAAGUUCAUCUCUGCGUUUCCCUCGCAGUAGAGGAAGUUUGGGUUGGGUCUGUGUUGCCUUGUGCUGGGAGGGGUCUGGAGCAUCCAGGCUUUCAACCCGGAUGUGGCCCCGUAGACUGGACCUCGGGCCUGGGACACUUCCUCCCAGGAGGCAAAGAGGCCCCUCAGCCUCAAAGCCUCAUGUGGGGACCUUGUUCCUGUUUCAGGCCCAACGUGUGCACGUUUGUCUGACUUAAGUGUGUGCAUGUGUCACGGGGCGCCUGGCUAGCCUCACUGCUGUAUUGUCCCCUGUGGGGAGGGGACAGGGUCCUGUGUUCAGUGACACAGGAGGGGUGCAUGGAUCAACUGCUGGGAGGGACCCGCUGGCUGUGGGGGACCGGAUAGAGCUAUUAGCAUGUGGUGUAUUGUCUGUUUCCCGCCCCCGCCUCAUACGUCAGUCAACUACCAAUGACUGUAUGAUGGUUGCACAGCUCUGAAUGUACUAAAAAUCAUUGAAAUGUACACUUUAAAUGAGUUGAUUGUAGGGUGUGUGAAUUAUAUCUCAAUGCAUCUGUUAGAAAAAAAAAAAAAGUGGAUUCCAAGGUGCUUAGCUGAGCCAGGUUGUAUUCAGGGUAUUUCCUUAAAAGCCACACGUUUGGCCUCCAGGGGGCCGUGUUCGGCUGGUGAGACAUCGACAUUUUUCCUUCUGUGCUGCUUGCAGUUACCUAGAUUCCUUCAUCUGCCUGUCUCCCAUCCAGCGCCAAGAUAUCACGUGAUCACUGUAGUUGCCAGGGUGCCUCGGCUGUGUCCCCAUCCGCCUCCAGGCCAUCCAUUCCUCAGAAUCAGUCUCUCACUCCAGCUGCGGUUACUCUUGCGAAGAGCCUCCGGGGGGAGUGUCCAUUGUGGCUCAGUGGAUUAAGAACCUAACUGGUAUCCAUCAGGGUGCGGGUUUGAUCCCUGUCCUCGCUCAGUGGGUUAAGAAUCCAGCAUUGCCUGAGGCAAGCUGUGUAAGUCACAGACAUGGCUCGGAUCCCAUGUUGCUGUGGCUGUGGUGUAGACCACCAGCUGUAGUUCUGAUUCAACUCCUAGCCUGGGAACCUCCAUAUGCCGUGGGUGCGGCCCUAAAAAGCAAAAAAACAAAAAAAAGGCCUCCUGGGGGUGGGGGAUCAGGGCAAGCAAGAGGCUGUACCAUGAAUAGAAGGGUUUUAAUGCGGGGACCAGCCUCACAGCUGCUGGGAUUGUCAGAGGCCUGGGAACCUGGGGCAGGAGGGUGGCUGCAACCUGGUGCCCUUGACCUGGAGGUCACACGGUAGGUCUGCUCACCUGCUCCUGACCAACUGUGCAGAAGCCAAGAGUCUCGAGACCAGAGUUCCCGUUGUGGCCCAGCGGAAAUGACUAGGAACCACGAAGUUGCGGGUUCAAUCCCUGCCCUUGCUCAGUGGGUUAAGGAUCUGGUGUUACCAUGAGCUGUGGUGUAGGUUGCAGAUGUGGCUUGGAUCUGGCGUUGCUGUGGCUGUGGUGUAGGCCAGUAACUGUAGCUCUGAUUUGACCCCUAGCUUGGGAAUCUCCAUAUGCUGCCUCAAGUGUGGCCCUAAAAAAAAAAAAAAAAAAA